CUAUAUGCCUUCCCCACCCCCUUCUAACAAUGGAUCAAACAGUUACACUUAAAUAUCCACCACAGAGCUAUACAGCCAGCCAUAAGACCCAUACUGAGACACACAAACACUCAAGUUAGGUAGGGUUGAACAUUAUGAGGUAGGCCUAUCACUUCUAGAAAGGAACGCAUCCCUUGUUUCCUGAACGGCAAGGGAGCCAAGAGGAGCUUGUAAGAGUUCUAUAAAGAGC